rnacentral:rRNA from 1 species
UCCAGACUCCUACGGGAGGCAGCAGUGGGGAAUAUUGCACAAUGGGGGAAACCCUGAUGCAGCGACGCCGCGUGAGUGAAGAAGUAUUUCGGUACGUAAAGCUCUAUCAGCAGGGAAGAAAGAAAGUCCUUUGGACUUUGGACGGUACCUGACCAAGAAGCCCCGGCUCACUACGUGCCAGCAGCCGCGGUAAUACGUAGGGGGCAAGCGUUAUCCGGAUUUACUGGGUGUAAAGGGAGCGUAGACGGCUGUGCAAGUCUGGAGUGAAGGGCGGGGGCCCAACCCCCGGACUGCUCUGGAAACUGUAUGGCUGGAGUGCAGGAGAGGUAAGCGGAAUUCCUAGUGUAGCGGUGAAAUGCGUAGAUAUUAGGAGGAACACCAGUGGCGAAGGCGGCUUACUGGACUGUAACUGACGUUGAGGCUCGAAAGCGUGGGGAGCAAACAGGAUUAGAUACCCUAGUA